rnacentral:rRNA from 1 species
AGAGUUUGAUCCUGGCUCAGAAUCAACGCUGGCGGCGCGCCUAACACAUGCAAGUCGAACGAGAAAGUGGAGCAAUCCAUGAGUAAAGUGGCGUACGGGUGAGUAACACGUGGAUCAUCUACCUUCUAGUGGGGAAUACCGUUGGGAAACCGACGACAAUACCGCAUAAGCUCGAGAGAGGAAAGCCGCAAGGCGCUGGAAGAGGAGUCCGCGGCUGAUUAGCUAGUUGGUGAGGUAAUGGCUCACCAAGGCUCAGAUCAGUAGCCGGCCUGAGAGGGCACACGGCCACACUGGCACUGAAACACGGGCCUGACUCCUACGGGAGGCAGCAGUGGGGAAUCUUGCACAAUGGGGGAAACCCUGAUGCAGCGACGCCGCGUGAGCGAUGAAGCCCUUCGGGGUGUAAAGCUCUUUCGGCAGGGAAGAUUAUGACGGUACCUGCAGAAGCAGCUGCGGCUAACUACGUGCCAGCAGCCGCGGUAAUACGUAGGCAGCAAGCGUUGUUCGGAGUUACUGGGCGUAAAGGGUGUGUAGGCGGUUGGAUAAGAGUGGUGUGAAAUCUCCCGGCUUAACUGGGAGGGUGCGCUACAGACUGUCUGACUAGAGUGUGGGAUGGGAGAGUGGAAUUCCUGGUGUAGCGGUGAAAUGCGUAGAUAUCAGGAGGAACACCGGUGGUGUAGACGGCUCUCUGGACCAUAACUGACGCUGAGACACGAAAGCGUGGGUAGCAAACAGGAUUAGAUACCCUAGUAGUCC